AGACAAAGGAGCAGUGAACUUUGCAGAAGUGAAUGAUUACCUAAAGCAAUGAAGGCAGGCAGAAAAGAAGCUGAAGACAAGAUUUGCUAUUUCUUGCUAACCUCUUUCUUCCUUCCAGGUGGAACAACCAUUUUGCACCUAUGGGAAAUGGGAAAGAAAUACUGUCUUCUCCAGCAGCUCUGCAGAUCUGAAGAUGUCCACAUCAAAUGACUCAUAGAGCACUUGGCAGGGAAAAGUCUUGUCAAGCUGGCAACGUGAAGUGGAGAAAUCAGAGUGAAGAACAAACCUAGACCACUAGAUAGACCUGAUCCCACUUUUUUUAAACAACUCCAUAUCCUUGGCAAGCUGCUCUCUGCUGCAGAAGAUGUGACAAGAGCCUGGUGACUGGCAUGACUGACAUUCAAAUAAGAGCAAAUGAAUUUCUCUUUUCGACUCUGCUUCAAAGUCAACAGUGGUCAUGUGUAUAUGACAAAAGUAGGAAACCAGUGGGGCUAUUUGCUUGAAAUGAUAAUGCUGUAUUUCACAGCCCCUUUCUUGAGAAGCAAAAUUGUUGGCAUUUUGCUAAACAUCAUAUGACUCUCCAGUAGUGAGGAUUCACUACAUCUCCACUUGGAUUAAACAAAAUAAUUAACUGUUACUGAGCACAAAGAGAAAGUCACAAGGUUGCAAAGAGUAAUGCAGCUACAUGGAAGAAGAAAAGCUCUCUUUAAGCUGAUGAUUGAACUACUCAUAUAGCUAGGACACUGGCCUCAGCACUGUACCCUUUUCUGUGUAUUUGCAGCUGCUCUUGGCUUCUGAGAACUGCUAUGAAGCACGGACUCCAGAUGAGCUCAUGUUCAUACAAAGCUAACAAUUACCUUUGGUUUUGACUGCUGCAGGAGACUCUAUAGCUUCCUUCCCAAUCCACACUCGUACUUUCCAACCCUCAAAAAUGCCAUGUGCUUAGGGAAAUAAAUAUACUAAGGAGUAGGUAGAACUUUCACAUCAUUCAUGGGACAAAGAAAUUGAUUUGCGUAACAGUAGUUUUCCUAAUCUGCAUCUUUUCUCCAUGUAACUUUACCACCCUCUCCUCUUUCCUCCUGAAAUUUACACUGUUCUUUUUCCAGCAGCCAUUACGUUUAUAAAUCAUUCGUGACAAGUAGCUAUAAAGAGUGAUUAAUGUUACUUCUUUAAAAAAGGGAUUACAAUGCAAUGAUUUCACAUGCAGAGUGGAUUUACAGUUCCCAAGGCUCCACCAGUUCCAUCGACAGGGCUUUAAACCACACUGCCUUUUGCUCAUGGCAGACCUCAAGGCCACUGAGCCUCCAUGAUUACUCCUUCAAUACAGAUAACUGGGGAUAACCACAGGUUUUUGGCUGGGUCCGCUCACACAACAGUAAUUAGUAACUCCUGCUGACAACAAUUAGACUUCUCAUAUGAGUAAUAACACAUUAAUUUGAGAGAAAACGAAUAUUUAGUCAUUCAAAUCCAGAGCAGCCAUAGCUUUCUAAGCAAGGAGGCAAUUCGUUUUCUUCAUACAGUUUCCUGAGCAGACAGAUGUGUCAGAGACCAACAACUGGUCUUAUCUAUGGCUUAGCACUGGAAAAACACAGCAAAAAUGCAUACCAGUCUGGACACUAAACAACAACAAAAACCUUGGCUUUAUGUGCAGAAUAACCACAAAUGGCUUAUGAUUGAUUGAUUACGCAUCAUCAUAUGACAAGCCCGCAGCUAUUAAAGCACACUGAUGAACAAACUAACAUGAAACAAACUCCACUAAGUAGACUACAAUAAAUACUUUGCCCCAAAGAAGUUUUCUAGACUCUUUUAGAAGCCAAAAAAUCAUAGAAAUAUUUAAUAGCCAGACUGCUAUGUCAUAAGUAAUGAAUUCACUAAAACUUAAUAACUGUUGCAACAAAAAUAAAAAAAAAAGUAGUUGGGUCAGGAGAGUCUCCUUGUCCUUUGUCUCCAAAUAAUCCUGGGCCCUUCCCUCCCCUUUGCAAGAUGGCAAAGAGUUAAAUGCAGCAGCAGAGAACACAGGGAAUGGAGAAGACAGGCAG
ensembl:lncRNA